CAGGGUUUCCGUAGGUGAACCUGCGGGAAGGACAUUG
rnacentral:rRNA from 1 species